rnacentral:rRNA from 1 species
UCGAGAAUCAUUCGCAAUGGGCGAAAGCCUGACGAUGCGACGCCGUGUGAGCGAUGAAGGCCUUAGGGUUGUAAAGCUCUUUCGCCUGGGAACAAGCAAAACAGACGAAUAAUCUGUGGAGUUGAGGGUACCAGGUAAAGAAGCACCGGCUAACUCCGUGCCAGCAGCUGCGGUAAUACGGAGGGUGCAAGCAUUAAUCGGAUUUAUUGGGCGUAAAGGGCGUGUAGGCGGGGAUGAAAGUCAGAUGUGAAAUCCCGGGGCUCAACCUCGGAACGGCAUUUGAAACUCCAUCUCUUGAGGAUAGGCGGGGAAAACAGAAUUCCACAUGUAGCGGUGAAAUGCGUAGAUAUGUGGAGGAAUACCGGUGGCGAAGGCGGUUUUCUAGCUUAUACCUGACGCUGAGGCGCGAAAGCAAGGGGAGCAAACA